UAGGGAAUAUUGGUAAUGGGCGAAAGCCUGAACCAGCAACGCCGCGUGUGCGAUGAAGGCCUUCGGGUUGUAAAGCACUUUUUGAGAGGAUGAGGAAGGACGGUACUCUCAGAAUAAGUCUCGGCUAACUACGUGCCAGCAGCCGCGGUAACACGUAGGAGGCGAACGUUAUCCGGAUUUACUGGGCGUAAAGCGCGUGUAGGUGGUUCUGUAAGUAGGGCGUGAAAGCUCCUGGCUCAACUGGGAGAGGCCGUUCUAAACUACAGAACUAGAGGAUGGUAGAGGGAGGUGGAAUUCCAGGUGUAGCGGUGGAAUGCGCAGAUAUCUGGAGGAACACCAGUGGCGAAAGCGGCCUCCUGGACCACUCCUGACACUCAGACGCGAAAGCUAGGGUAGCAAACG
rnacentral:rRNA from 1 species